ensembl:lncRNA LINC03015 long intergenic non-protein coding RNA 3015
AUGUUCCAAAGUUGUAUGGGAUUUCUAAAAUUCUAAUUUUUCUGAGUAUAUGCUACCGAUCAUAAUUAUGGUUAUGUUGUUGUUAUAACCAAAUUUCUUUGUCAAUUGUGUCUUUUUGAGUAUUUAAAGUCAUUUCCGCAGUUAAUUGCUUCAUGCUGAUGUAGUUUCUGAAAACUUCACAAGCACACAAAAAUCCUAGAACAUGGUGUCUUUUAGGAGGUUCGUGAACGGAUGGGGAGGACCCUGAAAAGCACUGUGGAAUACAGGUUUCUAGUAACUUCAAAAUCACAUCAUUUGGACUGGAACCCAAAGAUGGGAUCUUCUGAGAACAUCAGAGAAACGCUGCCCUUGGCAUCAUCACUGCAACAAAACAUCAGGAUCUUGAACCUUGGGGUCAUAAUCUCACAACUGAGCAGGGUCACUCUUGGAACUCUACAUCCAUUGAAACCCUUAAGGUAAAGCUAAUCAGGGAAGUUUCUCCCCAGAAGAAGAUGGCAUCCUUGAUGUGAGCAGCUCUUUCUGAAGAUCAUGGAUCAAGACUUCUUACUAUCAUGAGACUCUUAUCUUUGAAUGUUUUUCCGUUGCUUCCGCCUCUGUGAACAACAGAAGUGAGAAGGGGGUCUGUUUUGUGCACUUAUGGGGUAUACUUUUAUUUGUGAAGGGCUUUGCAGCCAGCUUUAUACAUGGAUAAUCUUAUAACUUGAUAGAUAAAGAUGAAGGCCCAGUGUAUCAUAGGUGAGAAACUUCAAUGGUACAUAUGGUGCCUCAUAAUCAUUCAGAAGCAGAACAUUGGUUCACUCCUCUUAACCCACAGCAUGGGUUAAAGAGACCAUUGCCAAGAGGCCUUCCCUCUUCUAGAAGGGCAUCAUUUGUUAGGUCCUUUUUCCAUGGUUUGGAAUUAAAAAGGCAAUGACUAGAAACAUAUCCCUCAUGGUAGACUCUGUAGCAGAUUCUACUGUAAAGGCUACACAACAGAUGUUAAAUUCUCUUGUGAAAGUUAUGCUAAAAAAUAGAAUUGGCUAAACAGGAAAGUACCUGUGCAGAUGCUGGCACUUAAGGCCUAUGGAGAAAACAUCAGGUGUUAUAGAGAGUCUGUUGUAGGGAAUUAACGAAAAGACCACU